rnacentral:rRNA from 1 species
UGAGGAAUAUUGCGCAAUGGACGAAAGUCUGACGCAGCAACGCCGCGUGAGGGAUGAAGCUUUUCGGAGUGUAAACCUCUGUUAGGAGGGAAGAACGUCUAUUAUUCGAACAGGGUAAUAGAGUGACGGUACCUCCAGAGAAAGCCCCGGCUAACUCCGUGCCAGCAGCCGCGGUAAUACGGGGGGGGCGAACGUUGUCCGGAAUUAUUGGGCGUAAAGGGCGCGUAGGCGGGAAGGUCAGUCAGAGGUGAAAGCUUGUGGCUUAACUGCAAGUUUGCCUUUGAUACUGCCAUUCUUGAGUUCGGAAGAGGGAAGUGGAAUUCCUGGUGUAGCGGUGAAAUGCGUAGAUAUCAGGAAGAACACCGGUGGCGAAGGCGGCUUCCUGGUCCGAUACUGACGCUGAUGCGCGAAAGCGUGGGGAGCAAACA